rnacentral:rRNA from 1 species
UCCUACGGGGGGCAGCAGUGAGGAAUAUUGGUCAAUGGACGCAAGUCUGAACCAGCCAAGUAGCGUGCAGGAUGACGGCCCUCCGGGUUGUAAACUGCUUUUAGUUGGGAAUAAAAGGGGGCUCGUGAGCCCCGUAUUGUAUGUACCAUCAGAAAAAGGACCGGCUAAUUCCGUGCCAGCAGCCGCGGUAAUACGGAAGGUCCGGGCGUUAUCCGGAUUUAUUGGGUUUAAAGGGAGCGUAGGCCGGCUUUUAAGUCAGCUGUGAAAGUCCGCGGCCCCCCCGCCCCCCU